GCGGUGGCAGGGGUUAGGGCAGGAGGGGACACCCAGGGCCUAAGAACCAAGAGGCCCAGCGCUGACGAGGCGGCCAGGUUCCAGAGGUCACUGCUGCAGGACGGUAAGCCCCUGGCAAUUGUUAAAACGAUCGAUGCAGCCACAGCCCUUGGCCUGCCGGUUCCUUGCUCCCAGACGUCAGGGACAUGUAGCCGGGGUGCCCCAGAGCCCCUCAAGGAUUCUCCCACUACCAAGCAAGCCAGAGCUCCACACCCAACAGGAGAGACACAGCCAUGGAUACCUCAGCCUGUGCCCUGGACACAUUGUUCCAGCUCCCAGAGCUGCCAGAGGGGAACCCGAAGUUCCCGGGAAUCCCAAACCAUCACUCACCUUCCCCACGAGCUUGCCUUUGCGGUUCAUGCACAGGUAGAAUUCCGUCUCCUUGCCCUUGAUCCGGACUUGACUACCGAAGGUGUCUGUCUCCACUAGGAGCUGGGCUUCGAAAGGCAGAAGGAGAACAAGACACAUUUUAUUACCAGGGGCAAUGGCUUGGUCUAAAGGCUCAGUGACAUGGUCCCUGGUCCUAUCUUUGGUCCCUCACUCCCCCAAAAUCAGGCAUGGGGAGGCCUAACAAGUCCCACAGGACAGAUGCCUAAAUAACCACAGAGAAGUCAGAGAAGUAGCUGUCCCCUGCCCCUCAGGCAGGGAGAUGGAAGCUGCCUAUCACCUGUUCCCUUUCCUCCAGCCUCUCUUGGCUCCACUUGGGAUCCAGAUGGCUCCAGCCAGAAGGGAGUUCUGCCCCCUGUGGCUGAACACCAGUGUGCCCUUCUACCCAUCGUCACCCACCUUCCCUAGCCCCUCAACUCUAUUCCACCAAACAGGACAAAGAACCGUGCAAAAAACCCAUUUCCCAAAGCAGGACAGACGGCCAUACAAAAAGGCCAUUCUCCCAAGCAGGACAGGCGGCCAUGCAAAUAACCCCAUCCCCCAAACCCAAAGCAAGACAGACAAUCACAAAAAUAACCCCAUUCCCCAAAUCAGGACAGAUGCCAUACAAAUAACCACAGAGAAGUAGCUAAGGGGACCAAGGGGACAGAUAGAUACAGAUGCAGGCAUGUGCACGCACACCUCCCCUGCCUUUCAGGACGUCAAGCUAUUUCCUCCAAAAGUUAGGUCUGUGGCCCCUUCCUGCAGGGCAAACAUCUGGAGCCCCUGCUAGUGCCCCCGGCACCUUUAACCUGCCUAUUCAUAGCAGGAAGGGCACAGGGAGUGAGGUGCGAGCUCCCUAGGAAAGGGUAUGCAGGAUAUUCCACUGCCGUCCAUGGAGGCCACCAAAGCUGAAGGGUAACUAACUCCCAGGAGCCCAGAAAUCCCAAUCAGGACCGGAUCCCCACUGGGAUUCCCCCCAGGGUGGGAGACCCCAUGCUACACCAUCCAUGCUCCACAGAGCCUCCCUCAGGAUGAGGGGUCCAGAGCUGAUCCCCCAAAGCCCUGCCUGAACAAGGACAUCAAGCAGGCAAAGAGUGACUGUCCCUUGAUUAGGUAUGCUGUGUCCAAAUCUUUUCCUCUCACUCCACCAGCCCACAUUUUUCUCCCCAGUACGCUGCUGCGUGACUUUGGGUAGGCCACGCGCCCUCUCUUAGCUCUCUCUCCUCUCUGGUCUUAAACCGCUGUGCCUGACUCCCCAGUACCAGCUGCUUUAUUUGCCUGUGACCGCCCCACUCCCAAUUCGUGCACUCUUUUCCCUGACCCCUUGCUUCCUAGCCCCUGCCCCUCCCUCACCCACAAAAGUUUAAUUUCAGUGACAAGGGACUUGCUUCUCCAUAACAAAAAUCAUAGCCCCAAAUUCCUGAGUACAGUAUCCUUGGAGCCACAAAGAGUAUACCUCAGUGCCCCUAAAAUACACUAGGUAUGAUUUUAAUAAAAAAAUUUACAAAUAUAGACCCUGGUGCCCUGCUGUGAAAAUUAAAACCAUCUGGAACUUGAGAUUUCCAAUAAUUAAUCUAGCCCUCCUUUGACACCACUACUAAUUAAAAUACGAUACCCACCUUUCCAAGAGGGAAAAAAAGAAGAAUUUACAUAAAAU
rnacentral:lncRNA from 1 species